AGAUUGAACGCUGGCGGCAUGCCUAACACAUGCAAGUCGAACGGGAGUAGCAAUACUCUAGUGGCGGACGGGUGAGGAAUACGUAGGAAUUUGCCCUUAAGUGGGGGGAUAACCCGGGGAAACCCGGAUUAAUACCGCAUGACCUCGAAAGAGCAAAGUGGGGGAUCGCAAGACCUCACGCUUUUGGAGAAGCCUACGUCGGAUUAGCUAGUUGGUGAGGUAAUGGCUCACCAAGGCGACGAUCCGUAACUGGUCUGAGAGGAUGAUCAGUCACACCGGAACUGAGACACGGUCCGGACUCCGUACGGGAGGCAGCAGGUGGGGAAUAGUUGGACAAGUGGGCGCAAGCCUAGAUCCAGCAAUGCCGACGUGUCGUAGAA
rnacentral:rRNA from 1 species